GACGAACGCUGGCGGCGUGCCUAAUACAUGCAAGUAGAACGCUGAAGAGAGGAGCUUACUCUUCUUGGAUGAGUUGCGAACGGGUGAGUAACGCGUAGGUAACCUGCCUUGUAGCGGGGGAUAACUAUUGGAAACGAUAGCUAAUACCGCAUAACAAUGGAUGACACAUGUCAUUUACUUGAAAGGGGCAAUUGCUCCACUACAGGAUGGACCUGCGUUGUAUUAGCUAGUAGGUGAGGUAAUGGCUCACCUAGGCGACGAUACAUAGCCGACCUGAGAGGGUGAUCGGCCACACUGGGACUGAGACACGGCCCAGACUCCUACGGGAGGCAGCAGUAGGGAAUCUUCGGCAAUGGGGGCAACCCUGACCGAGCAACGCCGCGUGAGUGAAGAAGGUUUUCGGAUCGUAAAGCUCUGUUGUAAGUCAAGAACGGGUGUGAGAGUGGAAAGUUCACACUGUGACGGUAGCUUACCAGAAAGGGACGGCUAACUACGUG
rnacentral:rRNA from 1 species